rnacentral:rRNA from 1 species
UACAGGGGGGGCAAGCGUUGUUCGGAAUUACUGGGCGUAAAGGGCCAGUAGGCGGCCAUCUAAGUCAGACGUGAAAUCCCCCGGCUUAACCUGGGAACUGCGUCUGAUACUGGACGGCUUGAGUUUGGGAGAGGGAUGCAGAAUUCCAGGUGUAGCGGUGAAAUGCGUAGAUAUCUGGAGGAAUACCGGUGGCGAAGGCGGGUCUCUGGGCCGUAACUGACGCUGAGGAGCGAAAGCGUGGGGAGCGAACAGG